AUUGAACGCUGGCGGCCGGCCUAACACAUGCAAGUCGCACGAGUGGCGGACGGGUGAGUAAUGUCUGGGAAACUGCCUGAUGGAGGGGGAUAACUACUGGAAACGGUAGCUAAUACCGCAUACCAUCAGAUGUGCCACGAUGGGAUUAGCUAGUUGGUAGGGUAACGGCGCACCAACGCGACGAUCCCUAGCUGGUCUGAGAGGAUGACCAGCAACUCUGGAACUGAGACAGGGUCCAGACGCCUACGGGAGGUAGCAGUGGGGAAUAUUGCACAAUUGGCGCAAGCCUUAUGCAGCCAUGCCGCUUGUAUGAAGAAGGCCUUCGGGUUGUAAAGUACUUUCAGCGGGGAGGCGUUACCCGCAGAAGAAGCACCGGCUAACUCCGUGCCAGCAGCCGCGGUAAUUC
rnacentral:rRNA from 1 species